rnacentral:misc_RNA from 1 species
CUUUUCCUCAUCUCCUGCUAUUUCAUGCAAACUUAUGGUAGACUUGUAAUUCUCAAGCUUGUGAUCACCUCCAAUUAUGCUAACCAUCAUCACAUAUGAUUCAUCGUCCAGAUUGUCCAGCCUCUCCGCGCUUCUUUUCGCCGCUAAGCCGGAGAUAAUCUUCAACUCACGUACGCUUCCUAUCCCUCUACCGUUGCCAGAAAGAAUUUCGCAACUCUUGACGAAUUGCUUGUAGGCUUGUGGGUUGUCGAAUUGCCGAAUUAUGGACCAAACAAGAGGGAGUGGUGCGUCUAUGGUUUGAAUCAAGCUUGAACCACACUGGUUUGGUGAGAGGAUGGGUGCGUAGUAUUUGCUUAUCAUUUCUUGUGUUUUCAUGUUCUCGUUUUAAGGUUGGCUUUGCAGGCCAGGGUCAUAUAGCAUCUGGGCUAUGCAAGAAUCCCUAUUCUUUUUGAAUUUUUUUUUCUUUUUUAAGUCGAGAAUAUGCCUUCAACUUCUUAACUUUGCUGAUCUAAUAGGG